rnacentral:rRNA from 1 species
AUUGAACGCUAGCGGGAUGCUUUACACAUGCAAGUCGAACGAGUGGCGGAAGGGUGAGUAAUAUAUCGGAACGUGCCCAGUAGCGGGGGCUAAAUAAUCGAAAGAGUGGCUAAUACCGCAUACUAUUGGCGCGGCCGAUAUCGGAUUGGCUAGUGGGUGGGGUAAAGGCUCACCAAGGCAACGAUCCGUAGCUGGUUUGAGAGGACGACCAGUAACGCUGGGACUUAGACACGGCCCAGAAUCCUACGUGAGGCAGCGGUGGGGAAUUUUGGACAAUGGGGGAAACCCUGAUGCCGCCAUCCCGCGUGUAUGAGAAGGCCUUCGGUGUGAAAAGUACUUUUGGCAGAGAUGCGGUAUCGGCAGAAUAAGCACCGGCUAACUACGUGCCAGCAGCCGCGGUAAUAC